AUUGAACGCUGGCGGCAUGCUUUACACAUGCAAGUCGAACGGCAGCGCGGGCUUCGGCCUGGCGGCGAGUUGCGAACGGGUGAGUAAUACAUCGGAACGUGCCCAGUAGUGGGGGAUAGCUCGGCGAAAGCCGGAUUAAUACCGCAUACGACCUGAGGUUGAAAGCGGGGGAUCUUCGGACCUCGCGCUAUUGGAGCGGCCGAUGGCAGAUUAGCUAGUUGGUUGGGUAAAGGCCUACCAAGGCGACGAUCUGUAGCUGGGCUGAGAGGACGACCAGCCACACUGGGACUGAGACACGGCCCAGACUCCUACGGGAGGCAGCAGUGGGGAAUUUUGGACAAUGGGCGAAAGCCUGAUCCAGCAAUGCCGCGUGUGUGAUGAAGGCCUUCGGGUUGUAAAGCACUUUUGGCGGGAACGAAAAGGACUGUGCCAAUCCCACGGUUCGAUGACGGUACCCGCAGAAUAAGCACCGGCUAACUACGUG
rnacentral:rRNA from 1 species